GCCCGGUUAGCUCAAUCGGUAGAGCGUGAGACUCUUACGAGAGACAUAUCUCAAGGUUGCGGGUUCGACUCCCGCAUCGGGCU